rnacentral:rRNA from 1 species
UACGAAGGGGGCUAGCGUUGCUCGGAAUUACUGGGCGUAAAGGGCGCGUAGGCGGACAGUUUAGUCAGAGGUGAAAGCCCAGGGCUCAACCUUGGAAUUGCCUUUGAUACUGGCUGUCUUGAGUUCGGGAGAGGUGAGUGGAAUGCCGAGUGUAGAGGUGACAUUCGUAGAUAUUCGGCGGAACACCAGUGGCGAAGGCGACUCACUGGCCCGAUACUGACGCUGAGGCGCGAAAGCGUGGGGAGCAAACAGG